ACGCUGGCGGCGCGUUUUAAGCAUGCAAGUCGAACGGUAAUACGGCUUCGGUCGUAUGAGAGUGGCGAACGGGUGAGUAACACGUAGGUGAUCUACCUUGGGCACGGGGAUAGCCUGUGGAAACACAGAGUAAUACCGGAUACGCCUUAGUGUCUGUGGGUACUAAGGGAAAGGAGCUUAGGCUCCGGUCUGAGAUGAGCCUGCGGUCCAUUAGCUAGUUGGUGAGGUAAAGGCCCACCAAGGCGACGAUGGAUAGCCGGCCUGAGAGGGUGAACGGCCACACUGGGACUGAGACACGGCCCAGACUCCUACGGGAGGCAGCAGCUAAGAAUCUUCCGCAAUGGGCGAAAGCCUGACGGAGCGACGCCGCGUGAACGAAGAAGGCCGGAAGGUUGUAAAGUUCUUUUCUUGGGGAGGAAUAAGGAGGAGAGGGAAUGCUCCUCUGAUGACGUGAACCGAGGAAUAAGCCCCGGCUAAUUACGUGCCAGCAGCCGCGGUAAUACGUAAGGGGCAAGCGUUGUUCGGAAUCAUUGGGCGUAAAGGGCGUGUAGGCGGUUUAUCAAGUCUGGUGUAAAAAGACCCGGCUCAACCGGGGGACUGCGCUGGAAACUGGUAGACUAGAGUAUAGGAAGGGGAGCUGGAAUUCCUGGUGUAGGGGUGAAAUCUGUAGAUAUCAGGAAGAACACCGGUGGCGAAGGCGAGCUCCUGGCCAUAUACUGACGCUGAGGCGCGAAAGCGUGGGGAGCGAACAGGAUUAGAUACCCUGGUAGUCUACGCUGUAAACGAUGUGCACUAGGUGUUGGUGGGGAGAACUGCCAGUGCCGUAGCAAACGCGUUAAGUGCACCGCCUGGGGAGUAUGCUCGCAAGGGUGAAACUCAAAGGAAUUGACGGGGGCCCGCACAAGCGGUGGAGCAUGUGGUUUAAUUCGAUAUACGCGGGGAACCUUACCAGGGCUUGACAUAUGCAGGGAAUCGCCGGAGACGGCGGUGCCUCUUCGGAGGCUUGCAUACAGGUGCUGCAUGGCUGUCGUCAGCUCGUGCUGUGAAGUGUUGGGUUAAGUCCCGCAACGAGCGCAACCCCUCCUAUCUGUUGCCAGCACGUUAAGGUGGGGACUCAGAUGUACUGCCGGUGACAAACCGGAGGAAGGUGGGGACGACGUCAAGUCAUCAUGGCCCUUAUGUCCUGGGCUACACACGUGCUACAAUGGUCGGUACAGAGUGAAGCGAGACCGCGAGGUGGAGCAAAUCACAGAAAGCCGAUCUCAGUACGAAUUGAAGUCUGAAACUCGACUUCAUGAAGGUGGAAUCGCUAGUAAUCGCGCAUCAGCAUGGCGCGGUGAAUACGUUCCCGGGCCUUGUACACACCGCCCGUCACACCACCCGAGUUGGGGGUACCCGAAGUCGCUAGUCUAACCGUCAAGGGGGACGGCGCCGAAGGUAUGCCUGGUAAGGGGGGUGAAGUCGUAACAAGGUA
rnacentral:rRNA from 1 species